rnacentral:rRNA from 1 species
GAUGAACGCUGGCGGCGUGCCUAAUACAUGCAAGUCGAGCGAACAGACGAGGAGCUUGCUCCUCUGACGUUAGCGGCGGACGGGUGAGUAACACGUGGAUAACCUACCUAUAAGACUGGGAUAACUUCGGGAAACCGGAGCUAAUACCGGAUAAUAUAUUGAACCGCAUGGUUCAAUAGUGAAAGACGGUUUUGCUGUCACUUAUAGAUGGAUCCGCGCCGCAUUAGCUAGUUGGUAAGGUAACGGCUUACCAAGGCAACGAUGCGUAGCCGACCUGAGAGGGUGGACGGCCACACGGGAACUGAGACACGGUCCAGACUCCUACGGGGGGCAGCAGGAGGGAAUUUUCCGCAAUGGGCGAAAGCCUUACGGAGCAACGCCGCGUGAGUGAUGAAGGUCUUCGGAUCGGAAAACUCUGUUAUUAGGGAAAAACAAAUGUGUAAGUAACUAUGCACGUCUUGACGGUACCUAAUCAGAAAGCCACGGCUAACUACGU